UACAGAGGUCUCAAGCGUUGUUCGGAUUCAUUGGGCGUAAAGGGUGUGUAGGUGGCGCGCUAAGUCGGGUGUGAAAUUUCGGAGCUUAACUCCGAAACUGCAUUCGAUACUGGCGUGCUUGAGGACUGGAGAGGAGACUGGAAUUCAUGGUGUAGCAGUGAAAUGCGUAGAGAUCAUGAGGAAGACCAGUGGCGAAGGCGGGUCUCUGGACAGUUCCUGACGCUGAGGCGCGAAAGCCAGGGGAGCAAACGGG
rnacentral:rRNA from 1 species